GAUGGAACAUGACGCUUGCAGCGACGCCUACGCAUGCCUUCCUCUUCAGUUGUAGGCACAAGCGCUACCUAGCCUUGGCCGACACCCGGGUUUCCUGUGUUUCAUACCUACUAGAUGGAAUUGGACCGUAAAUCAUCGAACGAUCGCCUAAUGCCACCCUCGCUUCGUUGGUGGUUGCGGGUGAUCCGCUAAGCGAGAUUUGUGAUCCUCGGCGCACGAGUCCUAGACCUUGCCGCCGAGGCCCACGCUUCUUUGCUCGGACUGAGGGAUUCGGAAAAUAUGGUUGGCAUGGGGUCUUUGUGACCUCUAUUUGCCGCACAAAACGAAAAACAUUCGAACGACGCCCGAUGGUGCGCUGGCCUUUGUGGCCGCGCACCUCGAUGUCCGUGAGGAAUGCUACCU
rnacentral:misc_RNA from 1 species